rnacentral:tRNA from 1 species
GCUGGUGAGAUGGCUCAGUGGUUAAGAGCAUUGACUGCUCUUCCAGAGGUCCUGAGUUCAAAUCCCAGCAACUGCA